CCUACGGGUGGCAGCAGUCGAGAAUCAUUCACAAUGGGGGAAACCCUGAUGGUGCGACGCCGCGUGGGGGAAUGAAGGUCUUCGGAUUGUAAACCCCUGUCAUGUGGGAGCAAAUUAAAAAGAUAGUACCCCAAGAGGAAGAGACGGCUAACUCUGUGCCAGCAGCCGCGGUAAUACAGAGGUCUCAAGCGUUGUUCGGAAUCACUGGGCGUAAAGCGUGCGUAGGCUGUUUCGUAAGUCGUGUGUGAAAGGCGCGGGCUCAACCCGCGGACGGCACAUGAUACUGGGAGACUAGAGUAAUGGAGGGGGAACCGGAAUUCUCGGUGUAGCAGUGAAAUGCGUAGAUAUCGAGAGGAACACUCGUGGCGAAGGCGGGUUCCUGGACAUUAACUGACGCUGAGGCACGAAGGCCAGGGGAGCGAAAGGGAUUAGAUACCCGGGUAGUC
rnacentral:rRNA from 1 species